UCUGCUGGCCCCGCGCGCCCGCGCGCUCCUGCCGGUGCCUCCGGGACGCGCGCGGGCGGCUGUCCUGGCUGUUUAAUGAAAGGAGGACGGGACUCUGCGGCGUCCUUAGCCUAGCCGGAGGUGUGGGGCAGAGAAGAAUCCAGGCUGUCCUUCCCAUUGCACUGCUCGAGCCCUAGCCCAGACACCUUUCGCCCCGAGCUUCGCAGGGGUCUGUUCCCUGGGCUCGCCUCGCCCCUCCUUGAUGCUGCGGACUGGAUGAGUUACCGUCCGUUCGGCUGAAAAGCCUGGACAGCACCUCACCUUCGAGAUCCCGCUUCCUUCACACCCGGUCGCCCCACCAGCCGCCUGGGUUCCAGUUUAGCACUGCCGACGACUUGCUGUGGGUGGCAUGUCUUUGCUCUCAAAUGUUACAUCUCCUGCGAAGCCUCAACCUAAAACCCUGUAAGAGUGAUUCCCUCAUUCACCCGCAUGCCCGUUAGCCUUUAUUUAGCACACCUUAAAUUAUAUUCAUUUUGCAUCCCAA